rnacentral:rRNA from 1 species
GACGAACCGUGCGAACGUUGUUCGGAAUCACUGGGUUUAAAGGGCGCGUAGGCGGGCUGUCAAGUCGGUGGUGAAAUCGUUCCGCUCAACGGGGACAAUGGCCUCGAUACUGGCGGCCUGGAGGGAGGUAGGGGCAUGCGGAACUUCCGGGUGGAGCGGUGAAAUGCGUAGAUAUCAGGAGGAACACCGGUGGCGAAGGCGGGUCUCGUGGGCAGUGAACUGACGCUGGAGGAGCGAAAGCGUGGGGAGCGAACAGG